UACAGGGGGGGCAAGCGUUGUUCGGAAUUACUGGGCGUAAAGGGUCUGUAGGUGGCCAACUAAGUCAGACGUGAAAUCCCUCGGCUUAACCGGGGAACUGCAUCUGAUACUGGAUGGCUUGAGGUUGGGAGAGGGAUGCGGAAUUCCAGGUGUAGCGGUGAAAUGCGUAGAUAUCUGGAGGAACACCGGUGGCGAAGGCGGCAUCCUGGACCAAUUCUGACGCUGAGUGAGCGAAAGCCAGGGGAGCAAACGGG
rnacentral:rRNA from 1 species